UGUAACAUUUGCACACGUUGUGAAUGCGACUCGUGCCUUCGGGGAGCCACGUACCAACCUGAUAAUUCUUUCUCAUCCCGUAAUUAGGAAACGAUGCCUGCCUACACGCCCUCCCUCCUCGUUUCGCGCGACGCGUAUAAAUCGCGCGAGGGUUGUGAACGAACACGAGAGGAAAAAGAAGGAAGCGGAGGUGCGAAGGGUGGGCGACGAGAUAAAUACGGAUAAGAUGAUUCUCGAGAUAAUUCGUGAGGGGAAUCGUUCGGAGGAUUAGUCGUCGUGGGAUGAAAAUUUCAUGGAGGCGAUGAAGACGGAAUUUUGCUCAGAGGAGCGGAAGAGCCAAGCUGCCGAUGUACCAGAUGUUAUUGGAACCAGUAUCCGGCUCGAUUUUAUGUCGAUUUUACGUUGAUUUUAUCCAGCGAACGUUACGAGUCGUCGACAAUCGAUGGUGGCGAACGAUCGACGAUCGGCGGCGUACAGAAGUCACGGGGGUGCGCGUGAGUCAUUGUUGCGCCAGACAGGGUGGUUACGGGGUGGUCCCCACACUCGUUAGGGGAUAUUUUAAUGGGCCGCCGCUUUGGAUUUGCCGGUGUUUAAUUACAGCGGUUCUCAACUCUGCCCUGCGUCGAGCCAUCCCCACAGCCAGAAUCGCCAAAUCUCGCCACGAAUCUACGCUCGAUUCGAUGAAAUCUUCGUUUGAAAUGAAAUUACGCCGGAGGUAACCAUAUUUUACUUUCAAUCGAGUUUAAGCAAGAGAGAUCAUUCUAUCUAGUUCGUUUUUUAAUACGCGAAAAAGAAAAAGACGAAACAAGCCAUUCAACAUUCGACCGCCAUCUCGAAAAGAAUUUUUAUUCCAUGCUCCACGUAUCUUUCUUAAGAGAAGUUUAUACAGUUUUGUACGGUGGAUCGGAAGAAACGACUGGCAUGGAUAGAAAGCGAAGGAGAAGAUUGCACGAGAAAGAUUGUACGGUGAUUUAGAAAAAAAAAAAAGAAAAAGAGUUUUUUCAUCGUCACAAGAAAAGAAAAAAGGCGGAAGGAAAAGGGGGAGGGAAAAAAGCAUCGAAGACAUUGAACGAGGCACACACGCUUUUCGCGCGUGUGCCACGCAACGAAACGAAAUAACGCAGGGCGCAACGUAAACGCAGCACGUACUCCACCCUCCCGGUGCUCUCGAUGGAAGGGAUGAAGAGGGGUGAACCGCGGCGGCGGAGAGGAGGGCGAAGAGGAAGGAGAAGGGACAGAGAGCGAAAGCAAGGAGAGAGGGGCACUUUACCACCCCAUAAAAAGGGGGGUGUGAGUGUUGUGUCUGGAGCUGGACCCACCCUUGGGUGAACGCCCUGGAACCCUUGCGCGCAGACGAUUUUUCAUCUCUCUCCACCUGCAUCUCUCUCUCUGUCUCCCUCUCUCUCCUACCCUCGCCCAAACGCUUUCCUCCUUUCGCCCUCGUUCCAUCCUUCCUCCCUAUCUUUCCCUCUUCCUGUCUCCUUUCCUCCGUUUCUCUCUUCCUCUCCCUCCCUCGUCGUCCAUUCCCUUUCUCUUUUCAUCGUUCGCGAACACGGAACGUUCCCUCCCUCGUCCGCUUCUGGAGUUACGGCACCAGACUCCACAAGGUGUCUACGCUCCUGGACAUAAAUGGAACGCCGCCACGCCGGCCUGUAGGCCCGUUCUACGGGGAUUUUCUAUUCCCACAGGCACGUCUGCGAUGUGGCUUAGGGCCGCGCUGCCUUCCUUUGCCACCUGUCCCCCUUCCUCGCCCUCUUACUCUUACCACGCCCGAUUCUUUCUUCCUUCCUUCCUUCCUUCCAUCCUUUCUUUUUCAGCUUCCCUCCCUCUCUUUGCUUCCUCCCCCCUCCCUUGCUAACGCAAUAUGUUUAGAUUUACUAGUCUCGUUCUUUCUACCUCGCCAAGCCAAUGGCCCUUUCAGGGACGGCGUGCUCGCGAUUAAGGGCGCGGACAGGGGAAAGGAGCACGAGGAAAAAGUCAGCGACGAAUUUUUACGAGGAAUGUAAAUUACGGGCACGUUAUGUUCAAUGAUAUAUAUUCGGGAUUAAUCUUUAUUCAUGAAUUUCCUCUUUUCUUUUUUUAUGUUCUGCUCAGGGUUACACCGAUUUUCUCCUAAAUUCCCGAUGUAUGCAUGAUACAAAUGUAAUUGAAAGAGAAAGAAUUCUUUUCACGGUUUUGUUUUCCUUUUUUUUUUUUUUCUUUUGUAAGGGAAGGGACGUAGCACGAAAAUGAAAUUUUCGUUUCAUUAUAUUAAAUAUUUUUCUCCUCCCCAUUUCUUUUUAUUGGUUUUUUAAACGAUUAAGCGAAACAAUCGCACGGGGCUGAAAAUUGUUUCGCAAUGGAUAGUUUUUUAUUUGUACAGUGGGUCUAUCUACGGAAAGCAAAUCUGUCUCUUAUUCAACUUGGAAUAAUUUUCGUUCACGUUUUCGAGUCAUGUGUCGUAUAAAUAAUUCCCAUGCGAUUCUUAAUAAUCUUUUAUCAUGAAUUAAUUGUAGCUCAUCAAAAUCAAACUCCUAUACCCGAUGUAUCAUUCAUACACUUAUACAUAGUUAUAUUAUCGACCAAAAAAUUUAAAUCACAAAUAAUAAAUAUCACAAGUAUUCCACUCGCAUUCAUCAAUUUUAAAAUUUUCAUCGCGCCAACGACAACAUUCCAACUCGAUUCCCUAUUCAAUUUAUAAAUUCUAAAAGCUACGUCAAUGGCUUCAAACUUGUACUCGUUACCCGAUUCAUUAAAUUCUCCCCCUUCAAAAUUUCGCCAAAGAAUAUCACGAAACGCGAAACUUUUCCAACGAUCGUUCGUUUACGACGAGAAAAAAAAAAAAAGAAAAGGAAAAGAAGGAAUUUCGUGCCACCAAGCCAGAAAUAAUUACGAAGAAUCCCGGCGAAAGAUCGUCGUCUUCCCGAGCUGCGUUUAUCCCAACCAUGCCGCCACCAAGCUGAAAAGAAACUUGUUCCCCCGGAUGUGACCGCUUCGUCGACCCUUAAACUCCGUAGACUUUACGCGGCACAAAGUCCCUUCGUUCGAAAUUCCUCGCGCGAUGAUGAUAAUCUGCGAGAAUCGCGUGGCGCUAACGGAAAACUCGCUCUCGUGGCCAGGGGAGGCGGUGGAAAUGCGGAGGGACGAGAGGAAAGAAGAAAGGAGACAGAGAAGCGGUGCGAGAGAGGAAAGUUUUCGAACACGGCGGAGUGUUCUUCCGUGUUACAGAAACCAGAUCUUAAGGAAGGAAGAAAGAGUUUGCUCGAUGCGAAAAGAUGCGAAGGGAUGGCGUUGUAAGAACGUGGUGUAACCGUGAUCCGUGGGGUAGAAGUCGGCGGGAACUGCUAAUUAACGGCGCGUACGAGCCGGCCGGAAGAACAGAGAGGGGAAAAUCCGGGGGGAGAAAAGUUUCGCGCGAUUUAUGAAAAUUGCGGGAAAAGUUGGAUAUGUAACCAUCUUGGAUGGAACUUGAUUGUCGUGAGUGCUCUCUGUAUUCAUCCUCGGUGAAGGGAUGAUACGUAUCCUUUGACAUAUCGCGAAAUAUCGUCAUUAUCUUAAGUGAUUGAAUUCUUAUCCGUUUCUCUCUCUUUUUUUUUUUUAAUUUAAUAGAAAUAUAAUGAAGUAAAUUGAUGAAUAGAUAUACGAGCAUGCUGGUUAUUAGUAGUUAAUGGUCACGUGGCGCUAGUGUCGCGUCAUCCGUCAUCACGGCGUUAAGUUAUAAGCAAUUACAUUAGAUGAAGCGAGAGAGACAGCUCUAUCUUCAUCGCUUACCUGUCAAUUUACCUUUAUUUCAUUUCAUCUAGAGCAAAUUUGAAUUGCUUUUAACUUAAUAUAAUAAGCUUCAUAUAUUUAUAAACCCAAGAUAUUAAAUUUUUAUUAUCUUUCGUACAAUUACAAUUAAGUUACAUGUCGCGAUUAGCAAUAUUCAUUAUACGUACGACGAAGUAAGAAAAGAAAUGCCGGGCGAGCCACAUCAAAAUUUCGAUUUCUCUUGUUACGUGCUCUAUAAAUGUCUGGUUUGAGUCCUGAUUUUCGUGCAUUUAUCCAAUUUCUACUUACACGAACGCGAGAGAUCGAAUUACGAGGCACGGAAGUUUCGUUACUGGUGUGUAAGCCGAAUGAAUAACCCUCAUAAAUAUCACGGGAUACCAGCCGGGUCGUAGCUCGGAAAGCUUCGAUUUAUUGUUCCACGCGUGUCGUCGACUCACUUUCCCCUGUGUUUUUAAUCGUUGUCCUUUAGCGAAUCGAUAUAUCAACCCCGGGCGUGGCGGAUAUGCCGACGCAACUUGUAGCGCGAUUGUUUUCUUUUCGAAUUCCUCCUGCGUUUUCGAAUAUUCUUCGAAUCGCAUCCCCCCCUUUUUUCAAUACUUUAGCAAUUACCAUAUGGAAGUUACAUAAGUUAUAUUGAAAUAAAUAAAUAAAUAAUCAAACAAUUAACAUUAAAAAUAAUUAUAUAUAAAGAGAGGAAAAUUUCGCGAACCACGGAUUGAGAAUCGUUGAUUCGAAUGAAAUUUAGUCGAGAUAUUUUCGUUUAACUCUUUUUCUCUCUUUUCUCCUUUUUAAUACACCUGCUACCCGUUUGCCCACAGAAAAUUGGGAGAAAUUAAAAUUAAGAAUGCCAAUUUUGCGAGUGAUAAUUGUUAAGGGAAUUUUUUAAAGAAAAAUAAACGUUAAUUUUAAGAUUGAAUUAUAAUCGGGAGAGUGAUUGCACCGAGAUCACGCGCGGCAUUAUUAAAAUUUAUCGAUAUUCCAUUUUUUUUUAAUAGCGUUAAAACGAUUAAAAGGGAUGCAAGCUCACAGAGAGGUCAGGAAUCGGGCACACUGAGAACGCAAUAUAUAGAACAUGAAAGGGCAGACAGAUAGAUGGUCCAGGAGGGUUGACAGAAAGGGUCUAGGGACAAUCACCCCUGUUUGCAACGACGUGUGUAAACGAAAAACGGCCGCAUACUUGCACAAAGGACGGCUUCGAGUAUCGAUUGCGCGAUAAUAAAAUAAAGAACGAAUUAAAUUGUAGAAAAUACCUCGUUAACUCUCGAUUCCAAUACAACUACGUUAAUUAUAUUUCGAAUGAAACGGAUAAAAAAAGGAAAAAAGAAGAAGAUCGAUCAGAAAAUCAUUGAACAAAAAAGGCAUUUCGAUCUCCUUCCUCGCAAUUGAACGAAUAUUGUACAACGAAAUUUGUACAAAUUAUCUAUAAAUUCUUUUCAAAGUUUUUCGCUAAACUCGCAGCCUGCACAAUCUGUCGCGCGUCAUUAGCCUUAUAUUACACGAUAAAUUAUUCCUUAGAACAAGAAGAUAUAACUUCUCUUCUAUGAUUCUCCACAUCCCCGAUACGCUUGCGCGAUCAACGUCCCUUUUUAAUAAAAUCCAGGAAUCUCGACGUUUGUUCGUCGUUAAUCUAUCGUAUCCACAGACAGACGAUUUCUCACCGAGCGAAACGCUUUGACUUUUCGCACUGGCUCGGAUAUUGCAGUUCCGAAGGAUAAGUAAUAGGAACGCGUAACUCUCUGCAAAUUAAAAUUCAACAUUCCAACGGGCGACACUUCGGUUCUUAAUCUCGGCGAAUAAGCGUCAAACUGGUCAAAGCCGAAAGAGGAAAGAAGGGGGAGAGUCUUUAUAUCUCUCGUUUCGUUCCGCGUACGAGUUCUGUGCAUCGAAGCAGUGCAGGUGCCGCUCGUGGUAGGCAUCGAUAACGAAUCGGGUGAAUUAGCCUCUGGCAGCAGGCCGAGGCUGGUGCGCAUCUCGUGUCGAACGCGGCAAGGGCAUAAGUCGAUUUAAUAAUUCAAACGGUCUGUUAAGAGGGUGCAUAAGAGCUCGGUCUAUUAGCGGGUUGAAGUCAACGACACUUUGCGGACACGCGGCGUAAACCAUCGAUUUUACGGUGAAUUACUUUUCGACGCCGGCCCGGAAGCUUGUCGCAUAAAAAUCAUGCUUUACGCAAAUUGCUAUCCUCCCCAUCGAAUCGAAGACGGGAUGCACCGGUGCGCGAAAUAAUACCCUCCCCCAACAUAUACGGGGACGAAGGAACGUGAGCCGAACGCGAAUCAUAAAGGGCGAUCCCGAUCAAACGGAAUUUUAUCACGGGUAAAUGUUUCAUUUCAAUUGUUAGAAGCGUUUAAAACAUGUAGAAAAUAUCGCAGGAUAUAAGUCGGAUAUACGUAAUCGUUGUUUUGUACUCAGUUUCACGUUACUUCUUGCACUGUUGACGAUAUACUUUUCUUUAGAAAUGAUAUAAUCUAAAUAUAAAACAAUUAAUUUUCAAGUCGAGAAACUUAAUUGGCAAAGCUGAUAAUUAAUUUAAAAUUUUUCAUUAAUAUUAUCCCAAAACAUUGUAACUUUAACUAAUAAUCGUAUAGUAGAUUCUUAUCUAACGAAAAAGUAACUUAAUCCGAUUUAAUCAAAUCGAAUAUCUAAAACUAGAUUCGAUAUCGUUAUCUUUUAAAAAUGUUUCAAAUGUUUCACGCAUUUGAAAAGUUUCAGUUCCUCGGUUUUACGAGCGCGCUAUAUCAUUAGCAGCCAGUAACUUGGGACGAGCGAAACAACAGGGAGAGGGAUUAUAAUUUGAAAUUGGCACCGGUGGACAGUUGGUGCAAAGGGUUUUUCGGUGUGGCGCGUCGGCGAAGAACGGGACAAUGAACGAUAUACGGCUGUGCGUAGGCCGUAGAACCCGGCGGGCUUUUGCACUCCCCUCGAUUCUCCCCUUCCGGUUCCCCUCGCCCAGCUCUUUACUGUUUGUAAACACGGCCGUGCUACUUUCCAAUGCGGCUCCAUUUCACUGCGCACAAACUGCGUACGCGUAUUAUGUGCACGCACCUCGAUUUUGCGCAUUGUCAUAUUCCGAUUUUUUCCGAACCAAGCCAACGAAUUUCCCUCCACGAUCCUUAAUUCUCUUUCUCGUGAAAUAUUAGCUAUUUCGUCUAAUAUCUUCUUGUUUAUAGACACGUCAAGAUGUUUGGACGUUAUCCCAAAUUUGAUAUCGAUGGUUUUUCUAGUAAUGUAGAUUCUUCGAGUUUGAAUAGCGACGCGCAAAAUAAUGGUAAUUGGAUAAAGGGAGGAUAAAAAAAUGUAAAGUUGAAUUUUAAAGUGUUAAUGUCAAUUCGAGUCGUUUCAAUUGUCGUUUACGACCACGUAAUUUCACGUCGUUUCGUUUCUAUGGUAUUUCUAAUUAUCGCUAACGCAAUACGUACUUACUUCAUAUUUCCUCUCUGGAAUAAAUAAUGAGGAAAUUUUUUAAUUUCAAAGAGUUAUUAUAUGACCCAGCCAUUAUGAUAUUUUAAAACAAAUUUCAUAAUUUCUCGCCUGCAAAGGAGGCGAAAAGCUUUUGAAUUCCUUUAUUUCGAUCCUUUAUUUCAUUAUUCACAAAGAAAUAAGGAAAAAAGCUCGUAAUUAGCAUCGAUCAAUUAUUUAAUUUAAUGGAAAUCUAAUUCAUUCGAUUGGUUUCGCCCGAAAUCACAAUUUGUGAAAAAGAGGAGGAGAAGAGGCAGGCAAUUAAAAAGUUUUGCCACCUCGAAGCGGUCGCGAUGACUUAUAAUCGGCGAGUUUAUUCUGAUAAGUCCGCGCUGAGUCGUGCAAUUUUUACUUUUCUUAAUGGAUACAAGUAAUCGCAAAUACGCAGGCAAAAAACUUUGGCGUCUCUCCCCUCGUUCUUAUUGGCCGGGAGACGCAGCUACACCUCAUUGAAAAAGCAACGGGGCAAUUAAGCAAAGCUUCGCUCCCCGCGAUAUAAUUCACCGAAACCGCUCAUAAUCUCGCGAUCUCGUAAAACACGGUGGCCGCGUGGCGUUCGAUAUACGGCGAAUAUUUUCGUGGUGAGAUCAGAAGGUAAACGGGACGUCACACCGUAACCGCCAUUAUUUGUCACGCGAGGGUUAUUAAUUUUUCACGCUUCGUUCCAUAACGAAGUUGUACGAUGCGAGACGUAAUACGCACGAUUCAAUUAUUUCUCACGGCGUAAUAACGAGAACAAUGCGGUGACGCAAAGAUCUCCAUUAAAAGAUUGCGACAAAGGAAGGAACAACGCGUACGUGCAAUGGAUUAACCUUGCCUAAACGUUCCUCUCGAUCAUUUUUGGAUCGAUCGUGAUCAUUUAUUGUUGAAACAAAAUGUAAAAAGAUAUUAUUUUACAUUAUUAUUUUUGCAAAUCUAUUUAUCACGAUAUUGGAACAUAUUUUUUCUCGUAUUUUGGAAAGAAAUUCGUUCGGAUUUUGAUUUUUGGGAACUAGAUACAGUUUCGUAGAUAUUCGUUCGUUGAUGUAUACGUUCAUAUCUUUUCAAUUUAUAUAAUAUACUCUCAUAAAAUGAACUUAUCACAACGAUCCAUUUAAAAUUAUUUGUCUUAAUUAUCAGAAUGAAAAACCAAUAAUCCAAUUAAGUCGUCCAUUGCUUGUCAUCAAGUUGAAUCAACUUUAUUUAUAUAAGUUAUUAUACAAUAAAUCUAUUAAUUUCUCCGAAUCCUCUUUUCAAUCUCCAUGCAAUAUCGAUCGACAGUCUCGAGGGUUGCAAAGGGUUGCAAUUCACCACCGUGCAUUAUGCUCGUUGAGAGUUGAACGUAUCCGCGGCGCAACUCGCCUUGAAUUCUUUGCGAACUAAUCGAACGACAGACGAGAAAAUCGAAAGAUUUUCGACGCGUCGUGGAAAAUUUGCGAUUCGAAAAUUUGCACGGAAAAUUUGGGUCGGAAAAGUCAAAAGAAGCGGAGAAGAAUCUCGGUUACCGCGAAACGAGCUAAUCUCGUCUCUGGUUCGUUUGCAGGCCGGGAGCGUUAACAUUUCGUUCCAUGAUCUCCCGCGGCAAUAAACGAGCAUAAACGAGGAAAAGUUUCAAGACCGUGUGUAUCGAGCGUCCGGGAUUCAAGGAAAUCGGCGAGUAAAUAAGCGGGAUGAUUCAAAGCGCGAAAUCAUAUUCCCUUUGAGCUCACGUGUGCUCGCGAUCCCUUUAGAUUUCUCCAAUCUGAAAUGCUCGUCGUUGUUUCGGACCGUAAUGGCGUGUCGUACGAGCGAAAAUUAAAUUUGAAGUAACAGAUGCUUGCGUGUUGUUGUCUCGUUCGGAUGAUUAAUCAUCCAUUAUAUUUCGAUCGUGAAGUAUCAGAAGUUUUAAGUGUGGAAUAUGACUAUAUUCUAUUUCAAGAUAAAUAAAAUUUGACGAUUCGUUCGAUAUAUUGUUGGAGGGAUACGACAAGAAUUAUUCGAUAAAGAGGAAAGCUUCGAUUAAAAUCGAAUCUCGAAAGAAAGAUAGAACGCCUUAAAAAGAGGAGGGAGAUAAACCUAGACCAAGAAUCUCUCGCAAAUAACUUCGAACGGUCGGCGCGACUCGAGAUCCUCCUCGAGCGUUAUCAAUUCGGAUUACAAAACACUCUCAGGAUAUCGAGAGAGCCGUUGGUAGUAGUAAUACGGAACAGCAUCCCCGAGAAGAAAGUACGCGCGCGCGCGUUCGGCCAUCAUCAGCAUGGCCGCGUUUCCUUUCUUCCCGGCCUCGCCUUUGAUCUCUAUUUCGCAGGAUUUUCAUCGGGUCGAACGAUGGGAACCGCGAAACUUGGCCGAAUCGGCUGACUCGGCGUGAUUCGAGCUUAAAAAGGCAUCGGCCUCCGCUAUCGAACGUCGCUCGAGGGGGCGGCGAGGGCUGGCGUCCGCCACGCCGUCACAGAGAAGACGAACGUCGUCGGUCGUGGAACCGGGACGGAAAAACCGGAGAAACGAAACGGAAAGAGGACGCGAACGAGAAGGAGAAGGAGAACGAGGCGGAGGGAGCAGAAGAAGGAAAGAGGAGGAAGAGCAAGAGCCUCGCCGAUACGAACGGAAACACGGAGCUGCUGGUGAACGGGGCAUAGAACGCGGCGUCGAGAACGAAGAGAGAGAAAGGGAGAGACGCUGGUUAGAGGCGAACAGACAGAGAGAGAGAGAAUCACGCGUAAGAAAGCAAGACGAACGAGGAGGAGGAACGAAGCCUCGGGGAGGAGCGGAGAAAUAUGAAGCGAACGAGGGAAAGAAAGAAGAAAGGCAGGGGCACGAAUGGAAGGGAAGGAGACGGGCGUAUCAAUUGAGACAGAAACGAAGAGUCGGUUGAGGCGAGGGAAAGGGAUCGAGGCCUCGAAGCGAAAGAGAAAAACGCGCGAAGGGAAAAGGGUGGGAGGGGUGUGCACGCGAAGCAAAGGGAGAAAGCUGGGAGAGCGAGAGGGGACGCGAGAGGAAGCGAGAGGGAGGUGGAGCGAGCGAGAUAGUCCGGGGGAUCAAUGGACGCAACCCCGCGGGGCGCUACACUCUCUCGGAUACUACGUAGUAUCUCGCUGCUGCGUAGUAAUACUAUGCCCGCGCUACGUACUACGCCCGCCACUAUUGCGCCCGCCAACCUUCCCCUCCGCCGUUACAUCCCAACCGUUCCCCUCUUGCGGCGGCUUUACUACUACUACUACUACUACUAUUACUACACUACUACUCGCCCUCGCCCUCGCCCUCGUCCUCCUCGGCCCGAUCACGCCCCUUCCCCUUAACCGCCGCCAACUUCCCCUCCGAUCCCCUCCUCUUCCCCUCCCCCACUCUCCUCGCGCCUCCCCUGCAGCCCCUCCACGACCACGAGGGCUAACGGCCUCCCGCGCUAACUUCGAUCCGCCAAUCGCGCCGCGACGCCGGUUGCCGCGCGCGGGAAAACUCAUCCACGCAUACACGCAGCGAAACUUCUCGUAAGAUAGGACGCCAACUAUACAGGGUGUGUCCGAUGCACCGGGGCUCGCGUGGGAAAUCGCGGGGAUGAUGCUGGUGACACGAGCUUUUUCGAGGAUCGCGUCGUCGUCGGUGGUCGCGAGAUUUUAUUUGGUUUUUCCCCCCCUCUUUUUUCGUUAUCACCCUUCUCGCUUUUGGAUUCUUCUUUUUCUCGUUCUUCUCUUUUUCUUUACUUCUUUUUUUUCCUUAUUCUUUUUUUUCUAUCUAUCAUUCGAUCGGUUCGAGAGUCUUCUUGUUUCUCGUCGUGUCGGGUUCGACGCGUCGGGCAAGGAUAGAGUUAUGCAAAGGAUGAGGAUUGUGCGGUGGUUUGAAUAUUUAUCCUUGCGUUUUUUUUCCCUUCCUCCUUUUUCCUUUCGGCUCUCGAUGCGCCGGGAAAUGUGUGCGGACGUGUGUGAUCGAGAGGAGAGCGUUGUUUUGAUCACGUUCCGAGGGAAGUGUCCCCUUCCCUCCUUCAACCUCUCGUUUUACUUGCUCCUGGGAUUUUUAUCAAUGGUGUUUUUGCGAAAGAAAAUUCCCUCCCCCCUUUCUUCUUUCUCUUUUUUAUAUCGCGAUAUUAAUUAUCGAUCUUUGAUAAAAUAAUCAAAAAUAAAACUUUUCGUUCAUCGUGGAUGUUCAUGUUCAUUCUCGAACGUUGAAAACAAUUGCUGCGUAUGAAAAUUAUUAUUAUGCAAUGUUUGUUUAGGAAUUAAUUUAUCACGAGGUAAAUCGUGGUGGAGGAAAGUGGCCGGGAAUCGCACCGACUCGUUCCGCGAGAAUAGCUAAAGCAGGGCGUGGUUCGUAUAAUUCUCCGACGAAUUUGCGAUCGCUCUUCGUUGCUUAUCCUUUGCAAAUUUUUAUAUUUCUUUCGUUUUCUCUUUAACUCCCCUAUUUCGAAUUAAAUAUCAAUAAUCGAAUAAAAUGUAUUAUCGUUGGAAGGUAAAUAUUUAAUCUUUUAAAUUCAUUUAUCGAUUUUUUGAUACGUGGAAAUAUUAUUUAAUUGCCUUAAUAAAAAAUUAAAAAUAGCUCGAUAUCAAUUUGUUAACGAUCUUCGUACAAUCCGUGUAUAAAGGAUAGCAAGAUAUCGUCCAUGUCCUCGUUUACGUUUUAUAUAAUAUUACGUUGCGAUUAUCUAAAUUAAAUAUUUUGGAACGAUCGUACAAUCGUUUAAAGAAUUAAAUAAGCUUACGUUUCGAGAAAGAACAUUUUUUUCGAAAGAAAUCAACAGAAUUAUUAUUACCUAUAUAAAGUUUCAUAAGUCUCGUUAUCCUAUUUUCGAGUUAGUAGCGGUUCGAGUAACAGUGAUUCGAUUGCAUAAAACGGAGAGAGAGAGAGAGAAAAAAAGGAGGAAGAGAUUUGCAAGUAUCGUAUUCUAGUUCCGUAAAUUCGAGACAGAGUCAAUGCCGCCAAUUACCCCGAACAAUUUACCAUCUUCCUCCGUCAGACGGUAAUGUAUGAAUUUCGUGCAAGCUUUGCAACCAUCUCGAUUACUGGUAAGUACUUCAGAAGCAUUAUGGGGAGAUGUAUAUAGGCUGGCAUAGAUACAUAACGGUGCACAUUGGUAGUCCCGAGCUCAAGACAAACGAUACGUUUCUCAAGUGCGCUCGUGUAACAGGUCGUUAAUCGGAUUAUCGUAUUACCCUGGCUAGCAUUCUUCUUGCGAAAUGUAAUUUCAUCGAUUGAGCACCGUGUUAAUAAUAACUCAUGUUCCGCAAGAAAGAUUAUCUCGAGCGGGGAAUUUGACGCUUUGCCUUACUUUCUUUCCAACAAUAGAAAACGUAAAUAAAUAAUAGAAAACGUACACGAUAUCGUCUCCUUCUUAGCCAGAUUUAUCGACCGUUUACGCAUCAUCCUUAUUCUCAUUGGGAAUAUCAUCGAUUUGACGGGCAAAAUACACGUAUCCACGCUUAAGAUUUAAAAUUUUAUAAAUAUUUAAUUCGAUUAAAAGUUAAUCUUUAUAAAAUAUAUCUUAAGGAGAGAAUAACGUGUCUCAAAUAUAUUCUAUAUUCAAUUAAAUAUAUAUACAUACGUCUACUGCAAUUUCGAGGUAAAAAUGCAGCAAAAGAAAAGAGAAAGUCGACAUCGAGUAAAAAGCUCCGAUACCAAAAAACGGACAACAUCAAAGAUCCCAUCGAGUUUCACUCGGCACACCACGCAUCGCCCGAUUAUUCGGUACUCUUCCUUCCGAGAGGAGGACUCGAAAACGACAACGUUCAACCGCCACGCGAUUUUUCCUCCGCGGUUGUGUGCGCGUGCAAACGCACUCGUCUCGACGAUGCGUGCGAGUCGAGUGCACACGGCGGCACUCAGCGUCGAAAAAACGCGAGAGCGCGCAGUACCUAGGUAUUCUUCUUAAAAAAAAUAUAUAUAUACACGCGUAUGCGCGGGUGUAUGUAGAGAAAGUAGAGGCAGAUGCCUGUAUAAUGACAUUUUCAGUGCGGUUCGUGCUUUUGUCGGCACGUACGCCCGCGCGCGGGGGGAGCAAGGGAGGGGGAAAGCGAGAAAGGGAGAAAGAGAAUGGAGAUAGGGUGAGAGCGAGCGAGUCGAGUGCUCCGGGUUUUAUGUCCUUCGGCCCUUAAUUCCGUAAAGCGACACGGCCCCCCUUCUUCCUCCUCCGGCAUCCUUUACCCCCGCUGACUUUCCGCUACUCCUACGCCCUACCACUCCUUUCUAUGCUCUUUUCCACCCCCGUAACGUCGACUUUUCCCUCACCGAGUCGUUUCUCUCUCUUCCUUCUCUCUUCGUGUAUAUUUCAUUUUUUCCCCUUCUUCUUCUUUUCUUUUUUUUUUUUUGAAUGUAGAUACAUCCACCUCGGUUGAACGUUCAGAAAUUUCCGGGAGCGAGUCUCGAUAAGAAGGCGCAAUUAGGCGGACGUGUACCCUCGAUGUCUCUUGUUACGAAAAGGUGUUACGAAAUAUUCCUCUCGCCCUCGUUUUUUCGUUUAUUUCUUUUUUCUUCUUUUUUCCGAGACCACCAACCCUUCUUGUAUUUCGCGCGGCGAAUCUGGGAAAACUUAGGUCGUUCCCAUGGGAGUUGAUUAAACUCGCGUGACCCCUCCUUUGAUCCUCUUCCCCUUCCCUCCUUUGCGCUUUUCCCGCUCGCGCCAUGUCGCGUCACGCGCGUAAUCUCUGACACGUAGCUUCCGCUUUUUUCCGGCCGGGUAAUUCGUAUCUUUCAUAUGUUUUCUUCGAAGGGAGACGAGUCAGAAGAGAUCGUUGUGAAACUUUUUCUUGGAUGAUCGGGAUCUAUACUUCACUUGUCGAGUUCACUUGCAAUUUUUUUUAACCAAUUUUGUUAAUUUAUGAUGUAUGAUCGUUAUACCGUAUUAAUUUUGGGGGUCGAUUAAAAACAAAAGCGAUAAAAAGAACCUUUUACAGAUCGAAACCGUAAAAAGAACGAGUUUCCUUCUCGCAAAUCCACGAAACGAUAUAAACACACUCUCUUGGACUCGCACACAUUCUCGGCCCUGAUUCGCCCUCACGAGGGAAAGGGACAAAAACCCUCGCCCCAUAAGUUGACUUGCAUCUCGUAAAGAGUGUCUCUCACUCACCGGAAAACAAAGGUUUGUUACUUAUGAUCCGUUGGAUCGCAUUCGCGUUUCUCGACCCUAAAUUUCGGAAUGGGGUGGAAGCCAUCCACUGUGGCUUCUCGUCCCUCGUCUCCGCUCCGUCUACGGCCUUUUUUCACGCGGCUUCUUGCGGCUCUCUCUCUCUUUCUUCCUCAUUCUCUCUCUCGUCAUGCCCCGGGCCACGGCCGUCCCGGAGAAGCUACGACUACCGCGUAGAAAUUAACGAAGCGGCGAUAAUUAAGAAAAGAAAGUUUAUGCCUGCCGCGAGCGCACCGCCGCGACAUUUUAUUACGCAGGAGUAAAGCCGGAUGUUUCUUCUUCUCUCUACCUCCCCCUCCAGCUGUAUUUUUCCAUUCGUUUUCGAUGGCCGAGAGAGCCAGGUCUUGGCACCGAGCUGGUAACACGCUCCGGAUCGUCGUUAAAUGCGAACGAAGACUGGAGGGGAUAGGGGGUUGUUGGAUCGUCGCGAAAUAAAACGUUUGUCUUUCGUUUCCCAGAAACUCACGAUCUCCCUCUCUUUCCCUUUCUCUCUCUGCGCUCUUCUUUCCCGCUUUCCUUUUGGGAGGGUUGAAACGAGGGGUUGUAAUGGAGGGACAAAAGAAAAAGAAGAAAGAAAAGGGAUAAUAUUCGAGGAAGCGGAGAAAGAGAGAGGGAGAGAUCGGUUCUCGCGCGGGAUAUGCAGCGCGGAAAUAAACGAUCCUUGUAGAAAAGGUACAAAGGUGGCAACCGCCACAACCCGGCUCUCUUUCACUCGUAUCAAUCGUGGAAGACGGGAGGAGGCUCGUAGGUCCGGCUGAAUCGUGGCCAAUCGCGAUCGAAAUCCGGCAAAAGGAGGUUGAGAAUCGGCUUGCGAAUCGGGAAGCUUUAAUCCAACCUCGAUUUCCUGCGAAAAGGCAAUCAGGAACAAAUCCUCGGUCCCUUCGUGGCGUCCCGCCAUCCCUUCGCCCCCAGCCACCUGGCCCCUUGUCGGGGAUUCCUCUCUCCAUCGGCAUUUACCCUCUCAACAGCCACUUAUCGAAACCAAACGCGGGCCACUUCCGGCCGAGCGACUGUGUCUCGAGCAGCACAUCGGUGAAAUUUCUUUGACGUUCCUCCUCCUUGGUUGUCUACAGCGAGAGAGAGAGAGAGAGAGAGAGAGAGGGGGUUCGUAACGGUUCCUCCUUGGCCGAUCUUUCAUCCAGUGGGUGGCUUUAUCAGAUCUUCUUGACGAUGGUCAGGGAAUAAGACAGGGUACAGAUAUAUCAAUUCUGGCCGUCCGUUUUAAUUAAUUUCGUUACGGGGCGAGGGUCGAAUUUCGAUCGUAGCGGACGCUGACGCGAUAAAAGCUGACUCACGCGGAGGGCAACCGGUCUGAAAGCUGGCUUUGAUAAUCGAAAUUCAAUUGCGGAAUCCUUCGCGGUGAUCGCGGCUACGCCAAGUCGUUCGGAUGUAUUGGAACGGAUGAUUCGAGGAGUGUGUUUCUGUGUCUUUGAAGGAUAAUUUCCCUUCGAGUCGUUCAAUUGAUACAUAAUAUACGAUACAUUUACACGCUAGUUUAUAAAUGAUUUAAAUAAGAAAAAUUAUAUUGCGUUUACUUUUAAUCUAAUAUCGUGUCUUUUAAUAUCCUUGUAGAUUUUAUUUCUAUUUCAUCCUUGAUAUUAUUAAAAAAUCUUCUCUGAAAAUUACCUGGGAUGUAUAGAAUAUGAUUCGUUCAUAAUGCUUUAUUUGUAUUGUUACUGUUAACGAAAUGUUAAUUAACGUUCAAAUUGAAGUAACGUCCGACAAUUGUUCGACACAAUGUGAACUUGAUUAGAAUUCACUUGAUCACCGACUACGCACUAAUUAAAAUUUCAUUUAUGUAAACGUAGCUCCAUAAGUACACGUGACAUCCAUUGUAACAAGUUACGAACCUUUGACGUUAUUUCCCUUAAUAAUAUUCGAAGCAGUAUAACAACACCAUUCUCCUCCAUCGAUCCGUUACACAAUCCAUUCCUAUUUUUAUGAAUCGUUUCAUUAUAUAUCGGAAACAAUUGACAGACGUCAUAAUUCUCGAAAAAGCACUUUCAGGGAUAAAAAUCUCCUCAGCAAGUCUCGACCGGUUAAGGGUGGAAACUCGCGUACGCUUCAUUUCCAUAGCGUUAAAAUUCUUAGAUAAAAGUGGCAGAUCGAAUGCGCGAUCGGUGUUAUGAUAAUGAGUAGCUUCCACGGCGAAGUAGUCCCUUCGACAUAGUAGGCAUUCCGAGAAAGUGAGCAGGGAUUCUCAAAUCCGAUCAUCUUUCGAUUACCUUCCAUCUUUCGGAUUCCUUAUCAAUUGUUUUUUCUAUUUUUGAAAAAAUUGACAUGUGCCACCCUCUGCAUUAAUCAAAUAUUCAAGAGAUCUCGAUUUUGAAAAACUUGGAUUUUGUCUGCAUUACGUGUUCCGUAAUAGCAAUCGUCAUCGAUUAUCGAUCAUUAAUUUACGCAAAAUGAAGUUGAUUAUUCAAUAAUAAAAGAAUAAUUGUCCAACACAUGGCAUAGAAUUCCUUUCUAGAGCUCGUGUUGUAUGAAGGCAACGCGAAAGGUUUCAUUCAUUUUAUUAUCAUAAAUUCCACGAAGCAUCGAUUAAACGAGAGAUUAAACACGAUUCAAGAAUGGCCUCUCUCCGACCAUAUCGUGAGAAAAUGGUAUAAUGCGAAGAUGCACUGGAACCGCGAAGAGAGAAGUGGGACUUCUGCGAUGAAGGAAGAGAGAGGAGGGGUUAGAAAGGGCACAAAUUGUCUAGAGAUAGGAGUCAGGUCGACCUCUUAGAAAAUAAGCGAGGAGAGGAACACCUUUGGAGAGAGAUGAGGAAAUACGGGCAGAGUUGCGCUAGAAAGAGUGAGGGUGUGAGGGGGUUAGACCUCGACUUCCUCUAUUACCAAUUCAUGCCCCUCCACGGGGCUGUCGAUAUAUUCAAACCUCGCCUGAGAAAAGGCCAGUCAUUGUGUCGGCCUCUUUGUCGUCCUCCUGCCUUUCCUAUUCCUCUCGUUAUCCUCCCCCUCUCGGGUUCCAUCCCCUUACCAUCGCUGUGCCUCCUCUCUUACACUUCCUUGCCUCUUUGGUCUCGUUUCUCUUGCGUGGAAAAGGGGGAUGGCCGCAUACCUUUGUCAAUAGAAGACCAAGGAGGAAGAAGACGAAGAAGAGAAGCAAGAGAAGGAGGAGGAGAGGCUAUGGCUGGCCAGGUUGGAUAAGAAAAAGGUGGAAAAAGAGGAGAAGAUGGAGAAGAAGAAGAAGAAGAAGAAGAUGGAGACGAGAAGGUGGCGAGAAGGUGUUCCACAAGACAGAAUGAGCGAGGAGUCUGUUAUGAGGUCUUUGAAUACCAACACAGCACCGACCGACCAACCAACUGUGGGGUGUAAGAGUGGAAAAGGAGAUCGAACGAGAAGAGGUAACGAGAGGAAAAGUGAGACGAAAAAGAACAGAAGUGAAAAGACGACGGAGGUGGCCGAGAGAGGAGGAGGUGGAGAAGAAGUUCAAUGGAUCGGAGGAGGUAAGAGGCUGCAAGGAGUUCUCUCGACUCGGAAGGAAUUAGCGAUCGGACCGUCCCAUCGACGAUUCGUUUCCUGCCACGUGAGAAUCUUGAAUUUCCAACCCUCCAUCCAGCCAAACUCGCGAACAGGUCAUUAGCUGAGCGCGGAGGGGAAAUACGUUGACGCGCUUGUUUAUUCUCUAAAGAAUCCUCCUCUUUCGGCAAGAGGCUCGUUUCUUUCUUUGAUUUUCUCUCUCUCUUUUCUUAUUUUUGUUCUCGAUGAAAUAUUUUUGCACGGUGAAUGUUUUUUCGUACGUGACAGAAUGUAUCUCUUUGACGAUUUAAUAUCCGAUCCGUGUCGAUGCAUGUAUAUAGAAUCUUCUAAUAAUAUCACGAGCCUACGUAUUUCAAUGUCUUUCAUAAAUCUUUAAUUAUAGAUUUCCAAGAUGCUUGUACCAAUCUUUCAAAUUAAAAAGUUGAUUACUCACAAACGUUAAAGUAUCAGAAAACUAUGUCUAAUUUCGACUCGAAAAUAGCAGAAAUCCUCGAUCCAAUUCAAAUCCAGAUCAAAUCUCCAUCCUCUCCCGUUCGAGUCGUUCGAAAGACACUUGGAACCCUAUUUCGAUAAAUUCACGGUCGAAAGGGAGGGGAUUUCUGAACGGCAACAAAGGAUUAUUCGUCGCUUUGACGGCUAGGACUCGAACUUAUUAACCGGCGCGUCACUCGCAGCGAAUUUAUCUAGGACGGGAAACAACAAUUGGAAGCUCGUAAUUACACGUGUCUCCGAAUGCAGACGAGAGAAGAAGAUGGCGGCACGCCUCGAAAUUUCGUCGACAAUAUUCCUCCCCGUCAUCGAGUGACAGCCGACAUAGAAGAGAGACAGAGCGAAACAGAAAUAGAGGAGGGGAUAACGUGUGAAAUCAUCGUCUGGCCUCUCGAAACGCGUGGCUGACAAAAGGAAAUACAAGGAUGAGGCCGCGAGUGAAUCAGUGGCUGUAGACGCGCCAGGUCAUGAACUUCCAUGCCGAUUCAACCGAAUCUCUGUUUCGUUCCUUCCUUUUUUUCUUCUUUCUUUCUUCGACGACAGGAGCGGAUAACUCUUCCACCAGGAAUGAACGACUCCUCGAGAAGGGGAGGCACGCGACGAACGGGGGACACGGUGACGAGGGAGACGCGUUCACCAGACAUUCCGCCCGGUGAAUUCUUGGUCUUUGGGUAAUUCGAGUUUCCUCCUUCGAGUUUUCCUCCUUCUCCACGACCCUUGUCCCACUUUGCGCUAUAAAUAUUUCCCCGGCAUUCCGUCCACCCAGGACUGCCUUUCGGUUUACACCCACGAGAAUGUUGAAACAUCGCAUAUUACCACCGGCGCUAUCAAAUCGAUCACGGAGGAACGUGUAAUGUUUCUUUUCUUUUUUUUUUUUUUUUUCCUCUCUCCUAUGGCCGUUACGACGCCAUUAGCCGCGAAUUUUAGCAACGAGGCGCGUGAGUGUACGUAAGUAUGGGGUGUUUUACGGGCUCUCUUCGUGGGGAAGAGAAAGGUUAAUGGAACGAUAAAAUUCGCGGAGUAUUUAAAAACAGCCUGCGGGGCUUACCCUUGUUUCUUUAUGUUUGAAAUAGCGGAAUGGAGGAGUACACGUUCCGAUCAGAAUUUAUAAACGGUUUUAUUAGUAGAUAUGCUAGUAAUGAGGUAGUAGAGUAGAGACUAUGAGAAUUUUUAUAUGUGUGGUAAAAAAUUUUUAUACUUUAUAUACGUAUAGGAUGGAUGGAUCAUCUGUUAUGCCAUUAUCGUUUCAACAGAAGUUUGAAAACAGUAUAUUGAAUUAAAUUUAUUUGUUACGAAGCUUGCUGAAUAAUAAAAUAUGUAUCUGAAACUUUGUAACUAAAAUAAAAACUAUCUUUUCUCCAAGUUAUUGAACUUUGAAAAUAACUUAACAAAAAAAAAAUUGUACGGCAAGUUUUGAAGAGUCAUCUUAAAGGAGAGACUUUCUUAAUCUUCUAUUAUAAAUUCAAUUAUGAGAAAAAUUUUUCUUUGCAGCUAAUUGAAUUUUUGUUAUACGAUAUUAAAAAUCUAUCCUUGAAAAAAAACGAACUUACAACUACAUGUGAAGAGAUUUCACACUUUAAAAUGAGUUCGAUUUCAUCGUUGUACGAUAUUUUCUUUAAAUAUCUUAGAUUAGAAAAAUUUUGAUUUCCAAGCUCGAAGAAACAACGGCGCGAUCAUUGUCGAGAAACGAAUCGAAUGAAUUCGGUAAAAGUUAUACCUGCAUAACUUUCGCUUAAUUAACCGAUACACCGAGAUGAAUCGCCGCGAUUAAAAUCCGGCCAAGUUUAUUGUUGCACGAGCUUCCCUCAAACGAAGAAACGAGGCUUUCCAUCCGACAGACGGAAAGAAACAGAAAAAAAUAGAAAGAGGGAUGUUGACUCGUCGCGGGAGAGAUGGCGAGUCGGUGAGGAUCGGGCUGCGUCUAAGUUUAGACGCCGAGCGUCGUUCCUUCGCGGUUUCCCAUCUCAAACGAACCGAGCUCUGUAUUAUGACUUUGAAUUCUUUCGUUGUAAAUUCCCUCAAAGCGACUCGUCGGCCCUCUGUCUCUCUUCGUUUCGAGCUUUCUCGCCCCCUUUCCAUCGAAAAGUUUAAUCUCUUAAAUGUUACGAUACGUCAGAUGUUCUUUUCACGGCGACGUGAAUUCUUUUUUUUUAGGGAGGAAUUUUACUGUUGUUAAGUAAGUAAAUAAGAAAGUUAUUUUUGUUAUUAUGGCGAAAAAGAAAAAAAUUAUAAUGCACGAAAGAAAAUAUGAAGUCAAUUUAAGAAGUUAAUAAUCUUUAAGUUGGUAGUUAAGUCACUAUUAUCGUGUUAUCGAUCAUCAUACUUAAGUUCAUAAGUAAUUCAAUUUAAGAUAUUUUUCCUCGAUUUAUUCCAAGAGUCUACCGAUAUAAUAUAUAUUUUAAAAAUACAAUUUAUAAAAUGAUUUGAAAACUGAAGAAAUGAGAAUAAUUAUCAAAAAUUCUUUUCUUCUCCGCUCUCUAUAUAUAAUUAAAAUAUCGAUUAAACGAAAAGAACGUUUAUCUAAUAAAUAGAUUCGCAUUUGUCCAAUCUACAGAUCAAACGACUUUAACUUUAAAGAAUAUCCCCGUGGAUCGAUUCCACGCGCUUCCAAGUAUCAUCGCAAUAAACGUCGUUUUUACAAUAGGCAUCGGCUCGUUCGACGAACUCCACCAUAAUAAUUUUUCGUCGACACGAAACGCUCGCAAACCUUUUUCCACGAGUACACCCGCACCCAAGCAAAGGUAAACGAUUUCUGGGAAUCGAGGCUCGAAGUUGAAGUACGAUGACGAUUAAUAAUCACUCUGUUAUCUGCGCUUCUUUUUCCCAUGACAAUUUCAACCUGUUAUUCGCCUAGACUAUUAGAUGCGACCUCGAGAUUGCAGUCAUUCCAGUUUUGAUAUCAAUCUUCCUUGCCACGAUGACUACGCACAAGCCUUGAUGAACACCCUUCUACACCCUUUCUCCUUUCUCCAACGCUUGUAAACACAUCCGCGAGUGCAUUAGAGGCUCGUGAAAAAUUUAGAAGAUCUCUCGUGUGUCGCGCCGUUGCCCUCGCCGAGGCGAGACACGGAUCGUCACGUAUACGUUGGAAAUUUCACCCCGUGCGACGUUUUAAAUCCCAGAAUUGUAAAUUUGUAAAUCCAACAAAAUCUUGGAUACAUUCGUCGUGAUCCCUUUCUUUCGAGAUUCAAACAAUGUCUCGCGACAAAUUUUCCUUGUUUGUUUGUUUGUUUGUUACCGAGCAAAUUCACUCGAUUUUCACUGGAAGCUUGUUGUGUGCAGUUACGCUUAUAUACGAAGUAUUUUUUUUUUUUUUGUGAAAUCAAUCCUCGAAGUUUCAAUCUCGAAGUUUGGAAAGUUUUUCUUUUUUUUAAUAUCGAUCAAUCUAUACAAAUCACAAAGUUAAAGAAACACGAUUAUUUGUGCCACUUGUUUUUCUACAAUUUAUAACUUCUAUAAUUUCUUUUUAAGAGACUCAUUAAAAUGAUAAAAAAUUUCCAACGCGAUAUCAAACGAUAUUUGAAUCUUUAUUCUUCCUAAUCCAUAUUUCUCGAGUAUAAAAAAAGAAACCUACCAACACAUCUAAUCUGAAAGUUCAGGUCCUCGGGCAAAGUUCAAUCGAGGUCACAGGCCCGGUUUCCGAUUAUGGGCCGACUGUAUUAAGAAUAGAUUUACACGAGAAACGUAAAAUCGUAAUUGAAUGACGUAAACCGAUUCGAGCCGCACGAGGCCAAAGUGUCAUGUACGAAAAUACGUUUGUGGGGCGGGUCGAUCGAUUUCGGAUAUACGGAUUUUACGAGGACCGAUUGGAAGAGCUUCUAUCCAUUAUCCCGUACGAGGUCGUAAAUAAAUGAAACAAUUCCAAAGUCACCUGGUUCGAGAAUACAAGCACUGGGCAAAAAAAAAAAAAAAAGAAUCUGUCAAUCCUCGUAAAGACGUUGGUGUUGGAUGCUGAAAAUGUACACACCUCGGGAUGCAACCAACACCAACGUCUGUUACGUCGAUUCGUCGUUCGACACCCAAGUUUGAAUGACACUUCCUUCGUUCCUCCAUGUCGACCUAUUUCCUAUUAUUAUGCCAACCCUAUUUCGAUACUCUUGCUGUCGAUUCUCUUGCUGGAUUUACGUCCGUCUAAUUUGAAUGUUGUUCCACUUGAAAUUAUAUCGAUCGCGCUUUUUCUCUAAAUUUCUCGAUAUAGUUGCGAGAUAUAGUUGCGAGAUAUAUGUAUAAUUUGACAGAGAAGUUAAUAUCUUCUGGAUAUCGAUGACGUUUCUCGGGUUUUUCUUUUUUAUUAUUGUAUUAAUUUAAAUUAACUCGACGCUGUUUCAAAGGAAAUUGAAAUUGAAAUUUAUGGAUCAUCGCGGGAUCUUUAAAAUUUUUCUGAUUAUUACAUUCCUUUUUGAUUUUCAUAAUUCUAAAAAACAUAAAAUAGAAUCGAAUAGUGAAAGAUCAAAACUAAACUUGUCAACUCGAAUCGAUUAAUUCAGAUGCACGCAGAAGAUAAAGAUAUUUCUCAAAUUUCUAAAAAAAAAAAAAAAAAAAGAAAAAAAACAA